UACGAAGGGGGCGAGCGUUGUUCGGAAUCACUGGGCGUAAAGCGUGCGUAGGCUGUCUUGAAAGUUAGGAGUGAAAGCCCCAGGCUCAACUUGGGAAUUGCUUUUAAUACUACAAGACUCGAAUUCGGGAGAGGAUAGCGGAAUUCUCAGUGUAGCAGUGAAAUGCGUAGAUAUUGAGAGGAACACCAGUGGCGUAAGCGGCUAUCUGGACCGACAUUGACGCUGAGGCACGAAAGCGUGGGGAUCAAACAGG
rnacentral:rRNA from 1 species